rnacentral:rRNA from 1 species
UACGGGGGGGGCAAGCGCUGUUCGGAUUUACUGGGCGUAAAGGGCGCGUAGGCGGCCACCGCAAGUCGGUUGUGAAAUCUCCGGGCUUAACCCGGAACGGUCAAUCGAUACUGCGGGGCUAGAGUGCAGAAGGGGCAACUGGAAUUCUCGGUGUAGCGGUGAAAUGCGUAGAUAUCGAGAGGAACACCUGCGGCGAAGGCGGGUUGCUGGGCUGACACUGACGCUGAGGCGCGAAAGCUAGGGGAGCGAACGGG